CGGCUCCGAGGCAGCGCCCCACGGCGGACGCCAGCGGUUCUGCGCCGGGAUCGGCCGGCCCGCGCUCAGCGUCCGCGGCCUGCAGGGGGCAGCGCGCGCCGAGUCGCCCGAGGAGCCGCCGGGCCAGGCCGGGCCUCCGCGCGGACCGCAGCUUCAGCCCAGGGCGAGCCGCUUCGCGGCCGCAUCCGGUAACUCGGUGCCCACCGGCCGGAGGCGGUACACGGCUUCCGGAUGAGCGCUCUGCAGCAGACAGCUCUCAUGCCCAGGAGCAGACUGGUGGAUCAUUGGGAAGCUAUUUUUGGAGGAACUUCCACUGUGUUUUUGAUCACGGCUGGACUAAGCCAUAUUCCCACUGGCAGUGGCUUCGCUUUUCUUGCAGACAGCCAGCCUCCAGCGUGGGGAGGUGGCACUGAGGAGGAGAUGUGAUCCUGCAGCCGGGCAUACCAUCUCCCUGAAGAUGGGUGCCUGGCUUUACUUCUCUGCUUUGACUUUCUCAUUGCUUGGAACUCCAGUUAUUCUGAUGCUCAAGAGCACAGGGCUGCUUAAUGCGCUCCUCAUUGAUUUAUUUCCUCUUCAUGUGCUGUCUCCCUGACUAGAAAGCAAACACAGAGUGCGGCUCUGAGCUGAGAUCUCUUCCUUCAGUGGAACGAUUGCCUCAUCCAUCCUUGAGCACUCACUGCCCGCUCAAGCAAAUGUUGUUCGAUAGGCUGACAGACAAGAGGAGUAAAGAAGAACGGACCAAACACAAGGGCCUGAGUUCAAUACCCAGUUCCACAAAAAAAAAAAAAAAAAAAAA